GGGGACGUAGUUAAGAUGGUUAUAACGCCGGCCUGUCACGCCGGAGGCCGCCGGUUCAAGUCCGGUCGUCCCCGCCA
rnacentral:tRNA from 3 species